GAUGAACGCUGGCGGCGUGCCUAAUACAUGCAAGUCGAGCGAACAGACGAGGAGCUUGCUCCUCUGACGUUAGCGGCGGACGGGUGAGUAACACGUGGAUAACCUACCUAUAAGACUGGGAUAACUUCGGGAAACCGGAGCUAAUACCGGAUAAUAUAUUGAACCGCAUGGUUCAAUAGUGAAAGACGGUUUUGCUGUCACUUAUAGAUGGAUCCGCGCCGCAUUAGCUAGUUGGUAAGGUAACGGCUUACCAAGGCAACGAUGCGUAGCCGACCUGAGAGGGUGAUCGGCCACACUGGAACUGAGACACGGUCAAGACGCCUACGGGAGGCAGCAGUAGGGAAUCUUACGCAAUGGGCGAAAGCAUGACGGAGCAACGCCGCGUGAGUGAUGAAGGUCUUCGGAUCGUAAAACUCUGUUAUUAGGGAAGAACAAAUGUGUAAGUAACUAUGCACGUCUUGACGGUACCUAAUCAGAAAGCCACGGCUAACUACGUG
rnacentral:rRNA from 1 species